rnacentral:misc_RNA from 1 species
AAGUCGUAACAAGGUUUCCGUAGGUGAACCUGCGGAAGGAUCAUUUCCAAAAACACAUACCAUAAACCCAAAAGGAGGAGGGGGUCAAACCUCUCUUCUUGUGUGAAACUGUGUCGGGGUCGUCUCUUCUUUUUUUACUCUCAAAGGGUAGCUUCUUUCUCCUUCUUUUUUGAGGUGAGGAGGUUGUUGCCUGGAGAGAGAUGUGAUAAGCCCAUUCGAUAGAAAUUGAAAACCUUUUCAUUCUAGGGAAACCAAAAAAAUAAAUAAAACGACAACUUUUAACGGUGGAUCUCUAGGCUCGU